UUUUUAGGUUCCUCAGUCCCAUUGUAUAGCUCUCUGACUUCACCAUUUUCGCGCUUCUUCUUCAAUUGCGCUCUUACACCAAAUCCUAUCUCCCCUUCUCUUCGUCUUCGUUUUCUCAAUUUCCCACUUCAAUUCUAGUUCCGGAAUCACCUUCCCACCGGCCCCGAUCGACGUCAAUAGGGAAGUGCAUGAGCGGUUUUUUCUUUUAGUGGAAAAUGUUCAAUAAGUUAACCAAGCGUGGCUUUUGUACGGCAAUAUCAUCACGACCUUGGCUUUUUGUGGGGUUGGGAAACCCUGGAGAGAAGUUCAGAGGAACUAGGCACAAUGUGGGCUUUCAGAUGAUUGAUGUAUUUGCUGAGUCUGUUGGAAUUCCAAUGAACAGGGUUCACUGUAAAGCUGUGUUUGGUGAAGGUUUUGUUGGGGACAUCCCUGUUUUUCUGGCAAAGCCUCAAACUUACAUGAACCUGAGUGGUGAAUCUGCAGGACCACUUGCAGCUCAUUACAAGCUACCUCUGAACCGUGUGCUCGUGUUUCAUGAUGACAUGAACUUACCAUGUGGGGUGCUUCGGCUUCAACACAAUGGAGGACACGACUACCACAAUGGGUUUAGUGUCCAACAUGCAAGAGCGAUGCUGAUCAGGCUGAAGAGUGUCAUUUAUCAUUUUCGAGGGAACAGAGAGUUCGCUAGGUUAAGAAUUGGCAUUGGAAGGCCACCUGGUCAAAUGGAUCCCAAAGCAUUCUUGCUUCAAAAGUUCAAUAACACUGCUCAAGAACGAAUUGAUACUGCAUUACAAGAAGGGGUUGGCGCAUUGAAGCGCCUAUUGUCUCAUGGUUUGUCUGAGAGUGUAAGACACUUCAACCACGAACAAAAAUACAAGCAUAUAAGGCUACAAACCAUGCCAGUAUGAUGAGACUAUAUGGUACAUUGCCAACGAAACAUACAAAUUUUUCCAAGUUCUCAAGAUAAAAGGAGCGAAGGCGUGGAGGUUCUACUUAAGGACGUUGCGACGAAGGAGUUCGAAAUUAUUUGAAGAGGUACUCUUGUAAUAGCCGUUUGUAGGCUUUGAUAAUGUAUUUUUUUUUUUCGUUUAUUUCCGGUUUUGUAUAAUUUUAUAAUAAACAUUUUGUAUAUAGAACAUUCGGGUUAAUUUGUUACAUAA